rnacentral:rRNA from 1 species
GCGUUGUCCGAAGUUACUGGGCGUAAAGCGCGCGUAGGCGGGGGGUUAAGUGAGAGGUGAAAGGCUGGGGCUCAACCCCAUGCAGUGCCUCUCAUACUGGCCUUCUUGAGGGCGGUAGGGAGAAGUGGAAUGGCUGGUGUAGCGGUGAAAUGCGUAGAUAUCAGUCGGAACACCGGUGGCGAAGGCGGCUUCUUGGGCCGUUCCUGACGCUGAGGCGCGAAAGCUG